rnacentral:rRNA from 1 species
UACGUAGGUGGCAAGCGUUGUCCGGAUUUACUGGGUAUAAAGGGCGAGUAGGCGGGACUGCAAGUCAGUAGUGAAAUACCACGGCUUAACCGUGGCACUGCUAUUGAAACUGUGGUUCUUGAGUAAUGGAGAGGCAGGCGGAAUUCCCGGUGUAGCGGUGGAAUGCGUAGAGAUCGGGAGGAACACCAGUGGCGAAGGCGGCCUGCUGGACAUCAACUGACGCUGAGGAGCGAAAGCGCGGGGAGCAAACAGGAUUAGAUACCCUGGGAGUCCACGCUGUAAACGAUGGAUACUAGGUGUGGGGGGUACUGACCCCUUCCGUGCCGGAGUUAACACAAUAAGUAUCCCACCUGGGGAGUACGGCCGCAAGGGUGAA